rnacentral:lncRNA from 1 species
UAGUGAAAACUGUCUCAAUUUUUGUUGUUUUUGUUUGUUUGUUUGUUUGUUUGUUUUUUGCUGUUAAUGUAAUCAGAGGAAUGUAGUGAGAAUUUUGGUUUCUUUGAAAAACCCAGAAAUAUGGGAAUAUAUUCUUAUUUUAACCUCAAGUGUGGGACAUGGGGCUGCUUCAUAUUGUCCACAGCAGCUAUGAUUUGCCUCAUGCUAUAGCAGGGGUGUGAUUUUGCCAGGAGCAGAUAAUUUAUGUGAUUGUGUGACAUUUGGAAUUCUGGGGACUUUUCAGAGGGUAUAUAAAUGCUAAGGCCCCUAGAGGCAUGGUGAGUAGUUGUGUAAAACCCUGACCCUCAGUCAGUGAUACUUACUUCAAGAUGCCUCUGAGUGAGACACCGAGAUGUAGAUUGAUACAAAAGCAAGAGGUUUAUUUUCCAGUGCAUUAGGGUCACCCCUCAAUCAGUCACAAAGAGAGUGACAAGAAGUAGACCCUGAAUGGCUAUUACAAGCAGUUUUUAUACAUUUUAGGGUUAAAGGUUACAUCAGCAAGGUUACAGUUAUUGGUUAAGCAUAUUGACCUUUAAAUCUAUUGGCUAGCAAGCAUGGCAUGCAUUUGAAUGUCUACCUGGGACUUUCCAGAGGUAUUAGGGGAUUGGAAGACUAGAAUAAGGGCUGA